AGUGAACGCUGGCGGCAGGCCUAAUACAUGCAAGUCGAACGGCAGCACAGCAGAGCUUGCUCUGUGGGUGGCGAGUGGCGGACGGGUGAGGAAUACAUGGGAAUCUGCCCAGUCGUGGGGGAUAACGUAGGGAAACUUACGCUAAUACCGCAUGCGCCCUUUGGGGGAAAGCCGGGGACCUUCGGGCCUGGCGCGAUUGGAUGAGCCCAUGUCGGAUUAGCUAGUUGGCGGGGUAAAGGCCCACCAAGGCGACGAUCCGUAGCUGGUCUGAGAGGAUGAUCAGCCACACUGGAACUGAGACACGGUCCAGACUCCUACGGGAGGCAGCAGUAGGGAAUAUUGGACAAUGGGCGCAAGCCUGAUCCAGCCAUGCCGCGUGAGUGAAGAAGGCCUUCGGGUUGUAAAGCUCUUUUGUCCGGAAAGAAAAGCAUCCAGUUAAUACCUGGGUGUCCUGACGGUACCGGAAGAAUAAGCACCGGCUAACUUCGUGCCAGCAGCCGCCGUAAAAC
rnacentral:rRNA from 1 species